rnacentral:rRNA from 1 species
GUAGUCUCGCACAGAUGCAUAUCAAUAAGCGGAGGAAAAGAAACUAACAAGGAUUCCCCUAGUAACGGCGAGUGAAGCGGGAAGAGCUCAAAUUUGAAAUCUUAAAGGGUUUCCCUUUACGAAUUGUAGUUUAAAGAAGUGUUUUCUGUUGAGGUUUUGGUAAAAGUUCUUUGGAAUAGGACAUCAUAGAGGGUGAGAAUCCCGUAUUUGACCUUUACUUUCAACUUUGUGAUACACUUUCAAAGAGUCGGAUUGUUUGGGAAUGCAGUCCAAAAUGGGUGGUAAAUUUCAUCUAAAGCUAAAUAUUGGCGAGAGACCGAUAGCGAACAAGUACCGUGAGGGAAAGAUGAAAAGAACUUUGAAAAGAGAGUUAAACAGUACGUGAAAUUGUCAAAAGGGAAGCGUUUGACACCAGUGUUGUUUUUCUGAAAAUCAAUUAAAGAACUGUUUAUGCUAAGCUGUUUAGACUUUAUCAGCUAUCUGUUUAGUUUUGAGCUUUUCUUUAAUGCACUUUUCAGUUAACAAGUCAACAUCAAUUUCUUUUGCUGUAAAAAAGCUUGAGGAAGGUGGCUUGAGAUUCGUCUUAAGUGUUUAUAGCCUCUUGCCUAUGCAGUCGGAGAGAUUGAGGUCUGCAGCGUAGAUCCUUCGGGGCUAAAUGCAUUUGUGCUAAGUUAUAGCAUUUUCAUAGACAACUUGUUGACUAUGAUUUGUCUUGUAGCUUACUCGCUUAUGUUAUUUUACCUACGCUUAGGAUGUUGACAGCAGUAUAGACUGU